UGUCUUGUGACUUGAAGGACUGGAAUUGCUUGUAAGAAGAAGGACUUAUAAUCAAUGGAAGAAUGAAGUUUUCGUGAAACUGUUCCUCAUUGUGUGUUUGAUCGCUACGUAUUUCAUCUCUUGAAUUUAAGGCAGAGCUUAGGCUUUAUGUAGACGAGGAUCGUUGAAUGAGGUUUGCCACAUAUAGCAUUCCAUAAAUUGGGUAAAAUUUGCUCAAUUUUGGAUCUCAGGAAAAGUUUGUUCAACAUUUGGUGAAGCUCAUUUAGUUGAUCACCGAAGUUCGUUUAGAUGAUUUUAAAAUUUAAAUUUCCCUAUCUUGUCCCUUGAUUCUUAGGUGCGGAUCACUCUUGGGCAAAGUUUAGGGUGAGGUUCGCUGAAGGUCUAUAAAUAGACUAUUCAUUUUCUUCUUCUCCAAUUGCCUUCUAAAACCCUAAAUCCUUGAAAUCUUCUAGGUUUUCCAAAUGCUCUUUCAAGGUCCUAAUGGCUCCCCAUCAUCAACUUGUCAAGGGAAAAAAGUUGCUAGUGGAUCUCGUUGGCCGAGCACCAUUGCUGCACCAUCACAGUGGGAGAUGAUGUCGGUGCGGUGAAUGUCACCAGCCCACAGUUCAAGAUUAACAAGACUAGAUUGAAGUGCAUCAUUCGAAAAUAUAUAAGAAGCUUCCAAGAAAGGAUCCAAAAGUAGAGGACCUAGACUCUGGGGAACAGUGAACGCAAGGAUGAUGAUUAUGAUUCGGACGUACCCUUCGAGAAGACACCAUCGUGUAGGCUUGUUGUCAGCCCACUGUGAAGUGGCAAGAGGAGAUACCCAUGGGAAGAGACUACGACAGCCUUCGCCACCCCGAAAAUAGCCCAAGCACCAAAGCUUGGAAUCACUGGGGAAGGAAAACUCUCUUGAGGCCCCAACACAUGGACCAGUGGCCGAGUAUAUGGUCGCUUUAGAUAAAGCAUCCGUUGGUGCCAAUUUAAUGGAUUCAGACAAAGAGAAGAGGGUUGAUUAGAAGACCAAUGCUUUUAUCGUUGACCCCGAUGAAGCUGAUUGUAGAGGUGACACAUGCAAAUCUUUCCGUAUCCUAGGUAGCGGGUCAGGAAUUCGGAGAGCCGUAGAUUGACGAAGAUUUAGCAUAGCUUACCGUCAUUCAUAGAUAGUUAGUUGGUGCUCCAUAAUAGAUUAUUUAUGGUUUUAAUCUUUUAGAGAUGUGUCUCAUUUUGGAGGCUAAGUGCCUAUGUACUGUUCAGUUGACUCUUAUGUGUUAUAGACUCAUUGUUCUUAUUUUAGU